CGGACACCUCUUGCAACAGUUCCCCCACAGCUUCCACCAGGUCAUCCACAGACUCGAAGUCCGCACUGCCGCUGUGCAAGACGCCUAGGGCGGGCGUGGCAAGACGAGGAAAAUACCAGGAUUUCUGCGCAAGUCGCCAUGUUCCAGUUGGGAUCCCGUCCGCGCAGUCGCCGUGAGACCUCGGCCAAGGCCCGCCCCCUGCCCGUCCCCGAAAUCUCGCCCUUCCUUCCAAAGCGCAUGCGAAACGGUGACGUAAGAAAUGCGCAGAACCCGGUGGGCGGGGUGAACGGCGCUGGAGGAACGGUGCGCAAGCGCCGCUCAAGUCUACGCUGAGCCACACUCUCUGCGCUUGCGCAACCCUUUCCACUAAAAAAUUAGCCACA